rnacentral:ribozyme from 1 species
UCUGAUGGUCAGCAUAUCCUCUGCAACACAAGGAGCGUUCCCGAUUUCUCGUGACUCAUACCCGCGCACAUGGCGAAGAAGGCAACCAAACACGCGAUGGCAAUUG